ensembl:lncRNA
CCCGUGCUGUGUUCACGUGCACCGAAGCUUUGGCGUAAAAUCCAGAAUUAACCGUUUCAAAUCCAGGACCCCUCCUAAAAAAACAAUUCCACGUACUGUGAAACUGCCCUGGUUUAAGGGGGGGGGGGGCUGUCUUUGCCCUCCAUCCUUCCCUCCCUCAUCUUACCUACAGUUCACCCUUUUUUAACCAAUUGACAGCGUCUGUAGCUCCUGCAGAGAUGGGCUGUACUCAGUCUAAGGCGGCGGGGGUUUACACCCGGGACCCGGUGUGCCCGGACCUGGACACCUGCUCCACUUUUGUUCCCAGCUUGAAGAGCUGCGUGUCGACCCCAGAGAGACCUGGGCCGUGUGAGGAGACCAGCAAUGUGAGGCAAACCUUCCUCGAUGUUCCCCGCCGAGGCGUCCCAGGGCGGGCAGUGAGCCCGUCCUCCCCCCUGGAAUCCUGGAGCUCAGCGCCCGGAGCGGGUCACCGGAGCACCAAGAACCGCAGCCCGGCUGGGGACCUGCACAGGGGUACCGUGGGCUGCUGGACCGCCUGAGACGCGAGGACACCGAGGACAUCAGAAAUAGAUUUUGAAAUACGCCUUUGGAUAUAAUAUUUGCCCUUUGAUUCAGAACGAAAGCAUUAUAUCCCAUGUGUGAUGGAGCAACUGUAGCAGGGCCAUCAAAUAUAUUAUGGAGUAUAAUGAAUGGUUGAGACAACACUUUAUAGUUAAACGGCUUUAUACAUUUGUUAAAAUGCAUUGCACUCCGCUUUAACCGCUGAUACUAAUGGACAUUGUUUUAGUUCUUAACCGGCACUGUAACUUUUAUUCCAUUGUUGGCUUGUUUAUUGUUUUAAUUUCUGUUAUUGUUUAAAUCAAAGUUAUUAAUUGGUUGUUAAAUGUAUAAUUCCUUUGCCUUGUUCUGGUGGGUUUUAUGGUUUUAUCUGAAGCACUUUUGAUUGCCCUGUUGUUGAAAUUUACUACGAAUAAACUUACCAGGCCGGUUGUUUAUUAGUAGUUCAUUUCAAAUGCAACCUUUAAUCAACGAGGAGAGACCUUGAGAUUAAAUCAUUCGUGCUACGAUCAACAUUUAAGAAGUUAGUUACAAACAAUAACACCGAUCACAAAGAAUAAGCAAUUGCAAUAAAAAAAUAAAAGUAAAAUGCU